AUUGAACGCUGGCGGCAGGCCUAACACAUGCAAGUCGAGCGGUUGACGGGAGCUUGCUCCCUGAUUCAGCGGCGGACGGGUGAGUAAUGCCUAGGAAUCUGCCUAUUAGUGGGGGACAACGUUUCGACAGGAACGCUAAUACCGCAUACGUCCUACGGGAGAAAGCAGGGGACCUUCGGGCCUUGCGCUAAUAGAUGAGCCUAGGUCGGAUUAGCUUGUUGGUGAGGUAAUGGCUCACCAAGGCGACGAGCCGUAACUGGUCUGAGAGGAUGAUCAGUCACACUGGAACUGAGACACGGUCCAGACUCCUACGGGAGGCUGCAGUGGGGAAUAUUGGACAAUGGGCGAAAGCCUGAUCCAGCAAGGUCGCGUGUGUGAAGAAGGUCUUCGGAUUGUAAAGCACUUUAAGUUGGGAGGAAGGGUUGUAGAUUAAUACUCUGCAAUUUUGACGUUACCGACAGAAUAAGCACCGGCUAACUCUGUGCCAGCAGCCGCCGUAA
rnacentral:rRNA from 1 species